rnacentral:tmRNA from 1 species
GGGGGUGCAUGGAUUCGACUUCGACCGAUCGAUUCGGAAGAAGCGGGCCGAGGUCUCCGGAGUCCUCGUUAAAGAACCGGAACCUAAACACAAGCGCCGACAACGUCGCGCUCGCUGCCUAAUUAGGUAGCCGUCAGCCGGGAGAAGCCUGCGAUCCCGGGUCUGGCGUCGCUAGCAGGCUCACUCUCCGGGAGCGUCCGGGUACCGGGGAGAACACCUACCGGGCUGGGAGAUGUCGAGCGCGCCGGUGCGCGCGGCAGAUCCGAGAUCCAAAUCGCCGGCUGCGCCCGGAGAUGCUUCCGAGCCGAGAUCGAAGCACGGGGGUUCGAUUCCCCCCACCUCCACAA